GAUGAACGCUGGCGGCGUGCCUAAUACAUGCAAGUCGAGCGAACUUUUGGGAGCUUGCUCCCAAAAGUUAGCGGCGGACGGGUGAGUAACACGUGGGUAACCUGCCUGUAAGACUGGGAUAACUUCGGGAAACCGGAGCUAAUACCGGAUAACAUUGAAGACCACAUGGUCUUCAAUUAAAAGGUGGCUUUUAGCUACCACUUACAGAUGGACCCGCGGCGCAUUAGCUAGUUGGUGAGGUAACGGCUCACCAAGGCGACGAUGCGUAGCCGACCUGAGAGGGUGAUCGGCCACACUGGGACUGAGACACGGCCCAGACUCCUACGGGAGGCAGCAGUAGGGAAUCUUCCGCAAUGGACGAAAGUCUGACGGAGCAACGCCGCGUGAGCGAAGAAGGCCUUCGGGUCGUAAAGCUCUGUUGUUAGGGAAGAACAAGUAUCGUUCGAAUAGGGCGGUACCUUGACGGUACCUAACCAGAAAGCCACGGCUAACUACGUG
rnacentral:rRNA from 1 species